CGGAUCACCCGAUUCAACUGCUAUCAGCUCAUUAAAUGUGCGUUAUCAGCCGUUAUAAGCCUCAUAGAUGUGGGCCAGUAAGGGUCUCUGUGACGUCAACCAUAGGUUUCUGAAGAGCGGUUGUGAAGCUCAAAGUGGGUAGCUCCGACCAUCGCCAUCUUGUCAGUGACGACACAACCUGACUCCAAAAAUGGGCAAAGAGGGGGAUCGUCGGAGGAGCUGAGGCGGCCCGGGUGACGCAGCAGAGCAGGCAGCUAAAAGCUAAUUUUAAGCCUUAAUAUAAUUUAAAUUGGGGAUUUUGUUUUAAAAUUCACUACCCGUAAAGUUGUCAUGAACAGGGAAAUUAGCUACAGUAUAGAGACCAAAACCGUUUUUUGUACCAGGCUGUAAACAUGUUUAUUUCUGCUGUAAAAUUGGGAAUUUUUUAAUGGGGAUUAACUCAGGUGGCCAUUUGAGGAACUGUUUUUAGCACUUCCCGGUUGGCUUCAUUUCUCAGCACUGGAGGUUACCGCUUGGUUCUAAGAUGUUGUAAAACUGAAUGAAACGUUGAACGUGAAAGUGAAAUUUAAUGCUUUUGAACGGCUUUUGCUCCUGCCAUAAUUACUACAAGAUGUCGCUGUCGUCUCCUUUUAUUCUUUCAUUCAGUGAUCGUCCAUGUCCUAGUGGGUGUAGCAGGCCCCCUCUGACCCACAUCUAACAUCUAACGCCCAUUUAAUUACCUGAUAAGUCUAACCGGCUGAAGAGACAAACCAAACACUGGCUUCGCGUUUUUACGUUACCUGAUCGCCACCGUAGUUCUCCGACACACUUGUGAAACUGCAGUAACGUGAGCAGCAGAGAGCGAAUGGCGUUACCGCGGUUUUGCACUCUGCAGUUCACGUUAUCGCACUCUUAUAAAGGGAGGCGGUUGCAAUCUGCAACCAGACCACUAGAUGCCGUCAAAUCUUACACACUGUACCUUUAAAUUUCUAAAUCAAUAUGGAAUAAUCUAUCAUGACAGUGGCUAAUGUUGCUUUAAAACAACCUAAAGAAGUUUAGAGACAAUACAAAACCCGUUAAAAUACCCAUAAAUAUCAAUAUUAAAGUACAACCUGUGGUCAGAUGAAGCUGAACAUUGGAUUAUUUGUCCACUCAUUUGGUGCAUUUUACUAACAUGAUGAUUUCUACCAGUUCAUUGCCGCUAACAUGCAAACAAUGUCAAAUGCAGCUCGAGCUUCAGCUGAGAGAUUUUAAUUAACCUGAUUAUAAAUAAAUUGCUGCAAAGUGGAGGAUGUCACAAGUGACUGGAUGUCAACAUGUUCUCCUAUUAAUUAUUCUCAUCAUGUUUGCCUAUUUCCCCCAGUAUGUGCGAUGACAUGUAGGCGUGAUUGUUGUCUCAAGCUUUCCUUUAAAACCAUUCUAGGCGGUAUUUAGGUGUUAGGAACUACAGAUAAUGUGCACCAGGUGUUUCAGCUGAUUGGUCAGUAGUGACAAUUAGCCUGCUGAUCUGUAGAUCGGGUUGUCAGCAUAAACAGUGGAAGGCUAGGAAGGCUAGUGGACUAACAACAUUCAUCACAGCUGUAAAUUAUACAGCUUCUUAUCAAACACUUUGCUGUCAUUAACCUCUAUCAUUGUCCUUGCACUCACUGCAGCCAAGUAACAUCUCUCCUUCUCUGCUGCUGUGUUGAACACUUCCUCUUUUGCUUCAAUUCGCGCACAGAAGCAUGAACUCCCAGCUGGUGCGACCACACCUUAACUUCUCCUGGGGGUGUUUUUAAAGUAUGAAAGCAGACAGGCCUCUUGUCAUUGGAAUAACUUUAUACUAAGUCCCUGAAUUGAUGUAAAUGCUGAAUCGUGGGAUUCAGUGCUGUUAUUCGUUUAAUAUGUUGUUUCACCCAAAUUACUAAAAACCAAUUGGUGUCUAGUCGAGCAGAUAGUUGUGGUUUUAUUUGCACAGGUUUUGAGAUACUGUAUGUGCCCUUGAGACGGUAAAAUAAAUUUCAUAUGGCAUUAAAAAUGGCAUUUAAUAAAAAUCAACAGCAGUGUUUCUUUUCAGACACAACAUGCAGCAACAUUCUCCUGAAUUUAUCUCAUAUUUUCUCUUAAUUUUCUGUUAAGAGAAAAAAUAAAUCAACUCCAGAUGCACCAAACAUUUUUAACAAUCCCAAUCCGCUUUUACCCAGGAGUGCUGAAUAAUGAAUCCCACCUGAUCAUAAAUUGGAGGCGUGUGGCCAAAUGUUUAUUAUUAUCAUAGGUAACGCCCCCUUAACACUCUAAGGGCAGGUAUUGGCAUGAGUAACGCCCCCAAAACGCUAUAAGGGCAGAUAUUGACAUAGGUACCGCCCCUUAAACACUAUAAGGGCAGAUAUUGACAUAGGUAACGCCCCCUAAACACUAUAAGGGCAGAUAUUGACAUAGAUACCGCCCCCUAAACGCUAUAAGGGCAGAUAUUGACAUAGAUACCGCCCCCUAAACGCUAUAAGGGCAGAUAUCGACAUAGAUACCGCCCCCUAAACGCUAUAAGGGCAGAUAUCGGCAAAGGUACCGCCCCCUAAACGCUAUAAGGGCAGAUAUCGUCAUAGGUACCGCCCCCUAAACGCUAUAAGGGCAGAUAUCGUCAUAGGUACCGCCCCCUAAACGCUAUAAGGGCAGAUAUCGUCAUAGGUACCGCCCCCUAAACGCUAUAAGGGCAGAUAUCGUCAUAGGUACCGCCCCCUAAACGCUAUAAGGGCAGAUAUUGGCAUAGGUACCGCCCCCUAAACGCUAUAAGGGCAGAUAUUGGCAUAGGUACCGCCCCCUAAACGCUAUAAGGGCAGAUAUCGUCAUAGGUACCGCCCCCUAAACGCUAUAAGGGCAGAUAUUGGCAUAGGUAACGCCCCCUAAACACUAUAAGGGCAGAUAUUGGCAUAGGUACCGCCUCCUAAACACUAUAAGGGCAGAUAUUGGCAUAGGUACCGCCUCCUAAACGUUAUAAGAGCAGAUACUGGCAUAAGUACCGCCUCCUAAACGUUAUAAGAGCAGAUACUGGCAUAAGUACCGCCUCCUAAACGUUAUAAGAGCAGAUAUUGGCAUAGGUACCGCCUCCUAAACGUUAUAAGGGCAGAUACUGGCAUAAGUAACGCCCCCAAAACACUAUAAGGGCAGAUAUUGGCAUAGGUAAUGCCCCCCUUAAACGCUAUAAGGGCAGAUAUUGGCAAAGUUACCGCCCCAUAAACGCCAUAAGGGCAGAUUUUGGCAUAGGUACCGCCCCCAUUGUCUUUAUUGCUCUGGGAAAUCUACGCAUUUUAUUUGACCUUGGGUAGAUAAUGGUUCCCAUGAAAACUGUGGGUUACUAACCUGAAUUAUGGUGUUGUUUAUAUGUAAUUGAUCAUGGAACUCUAUUUAUUUCUUGUCCCUUAUUAGCACAAAACCUGGGCAAAUAAAACCAAACCACCUGGAGUAAGCAAGAAAAUACUGUUUUGUGAUUUGAUGAACUGACCCUUUAAAUAGAUUAUUAAUUAAAUGUGAAGGACAGGUUGCCUUGCACAAUUUCAUAAACACAACAAUCAAACCUGGCAGUGCUGCCUGAAAAAAGAAAUCCCUAAAAAUAAAAUGUCUGUCCUGCAGCUCAUUCAAAAUAAAUGUCUGGUGAAUGAUGAUAAUGUGUAAUAUUUAGCACUAUUUUUGUAUCCAAAAACAUGUCUAAGGGAAAUGGCUCUGCUACAUGUUUAUCUUUUUUGCUGGUAGCCUGUUAUUUAAAAAGCAGUAUGGUGAUGUGUCAAAUAUUUUGCAAAAAGACUAAAAAAAGAAAAUCAUUGCUUUUAACUGUUGUGAUUUAUCUGGGUCACUUUAAAAACUCACUUUUAGUUUGCCCUGUAAAUAGUCAUGUUUAUUUCAAACAGACUGAAAGAGACAUUUUAUUAAGUUUAAAAUAAUGCUGAAAUAAUGUACUGACAGUUUGUUGGAGUCGUUGCAGGUUUUAACCAGAAUCGUAGUGUCACUGACAACUGUUGUAUAGAAAUGUACAUUUUUUUGUAAAGAUAUUUUUAUCAAAAGGCAUGUUUACUGUAACUUUGUAUUUUCAGUUCAUGUAUAAAAACGUUAUAUUCCAACUGUUGUAAGGCUACAAAACUCAUCGUCAUUGUAGAUAACUAUUUGUGUUCUUUAUCAGUCAAUAAAAUGUUUGUGUCCUAUAUUUAACUAGUCAAAUGUUUCAAUGAUCAACGCUUUAUUUUACAAAUAAAUAUGAACUGAAGGACAAA